rnacentral:lncRNA from 1 species
GCAGGACAAGGGCCGCUUCUGCCUCACCUACGAGGCCUCCAUGACGCGGCUCUUCCGCGAGGGCCGGACGGAGACCGUGCGCUCCUGCACCUCCGAGUCGACCGCCUUCGUGCGGAGCAUGGGGGACGCCGGGCAGAGCGUGAGCACCGCGCCGCCACAUGCCCCUCGCGCUGCACCUUGACCCAAAUCCCUGUCCUUUUGGGUGUCCCCUCCCCUUGGGGACAUCCCCGUCUCCAGCAGAGGCCCCUGCCCCUCGGGGAGGUCCCCGGAGGCAGCACCCGUCACCGCAGGAGGGCCCUGACCCCGAUGGAGGUCCCUGUCCCUUGGGGAUGUCCCCAUCCCUUGGGGAUGUCCCCGUCCCUUGGGACCAUUUCCCCAGAGCCGCGGAGCCGCUGCCAGCCUCAGGCAGGACAGAGGACGUCCCCCCCCGCACAGCGCACCCCGGGGUGGGCAGGUUUUGGGGUGUGCCAGCCCCUGAGCUCGGCUUUCCCCGCAGCGUGCCGAGCGCCAGCGGCUCUUCAAGCUGGCGGCGGAGAAGCACCAGCACAUGUACCGCAUGGCCAUGACCGGCGCCGGCAUCGACCGGCACCUCUUCUGCCUCUACGUGGUGUCCCGAUACCUGGGGGUAGAGUCCCCCUUCCUGGCACAGGUCGCCGACGAUGGCUACGGCGUCUCCUACAUCAUUGCUGGCGAGAACCUCAUCACCUUCCACGUCUCCAGCAAGUACUCCAGCCCCGAGACGGUGAGGGCUGAGGCUGGGGGCUGGGGGUCCCCGGGGCGGGGGGGGGGGGGGGGGGGGGCCCCCCCGGGGGGCGGGGGGGGGCCCCCCCCCCCCAACCCCACGCAGUGCUGAGCCUCACUGCAUCCCAGUCCCUCUCCGUGGGACCCCGACCACGCUCCAGGCUCACGGAGCUGCCUGUGUAGGACC